rnacentral:rRNA from 1 species
AUGAACGCUGGCGGUAUGCUUAACACAUGCAAGUCGAACGGGGGUAGAAAUACCCUAGUGGCGGACGGGUGAGUAACGCGUGAGAAUCUACCAACAGGAUGGGGAUAACAGAGGGAAACCGCUGCUAAUACCCAAUGUGCCGAGAGAUAAAACUUAAGGUGAAAGAUUAAUUACCUGUUGAGGAGCUCGCGUCCGAUUAGCUAGUUGGUGGGGUAAAAGCCUACCAAGGCAUCGAUCGGUAGCUGGUCUGAGAGGACGAUCAGCCACACUGGGACUGAGACACGGCCCAGACUCCUACGGGAGGCAGCAGUGGGGAAUUUUCCGCAAUGGGCGAAAGCCUGACGGAGCAAUACCGCGUGAGGGAGGAAGGCUCUUGGGUUGUAAACCUCUUUUCUCAGGGAAGAACAAAAUGACGGUACCUGAGGAAUAAGCAUCGGCUAACUCCGUGCCAGCAGCCGCGGUAAUACGGAGGAUGCAAGCGUUAUCCGGAAUCAUUGGGCGUAAAGCGUCCGCAGGUGGCACUUCAAGUCUGCCGUCAAAGACCGUAGCUCAACUACGGAAAGGCGGUGGAAACUGAAGCGCUAGAGUGCAGUAGGGGUAGAGGGAAUUCCCAGUGUAGCGGUGAAAUGCGUAGAGAUUGGGAAGAACACCGGUGGCGAAAGCGCUCUGCUGGACUGCAACUGACACUCAUGGACGAAAGCUAGGGGAGCGAAUGGGAUUAGAUACCCCAGUAGUCCUAGCCGUAAACGAUGGAUACUAGGUGUGGCCUGUAUCGACCCGGGCCGUGCCGUAGCUAACGCGUUAAGUAUCCCGCCUGGGGAGUACGCGCGCAAGCGUGAAACUCAAAGGAAUUGACGGGGGCCCGCACAAGCGGUGGAGUAUGUGGUUUAAUUCGAUGCAACGCGAAGAACCUUACCAGGGCUUGACAUGUCGCGAAUCCUCUUGAAAGAGAGGAGUGCCUUCGGGAGCGCGAACACAGGUGGUGCAUGGCUGUCGUCAGCUCGUGUCGUGAGAUGUUGGGUUAAGUCCCGCAACGAGCGCAACCCUCGUUCUUAGUUGCCAGCAUUAAGUUGGGCACUCUAGGGAGACUGCCGGUGACAAACCGGAGGAAGGUGGGGAUGACGUCAAGUCAGCAUGCCCCUUACGCCCUGGGCUACACACGUACUACAAUGGUAGGGACAAAGGGCAGCAAGCAUGCGAAUGCAAGCAAAUCCCAUAAACCCUGCCCCAGUUCAGAUCGCAGGCUGCAACUCGCCUGCGUGAAGGAGGAAUCGCUAGUAAUUGCAGGUCAGCAUACUGCAGUGAAUCCGUUCCCGGGCCUUGUACACACCGCCCGUCACACCAUGGAAGCUGGCCACGCCCGAAGUCGUUACUCCAACUGGCAACAGAGGAGGACGCCGAAGGCAGGGCUGGUGACUGGGGUGAAGUCGUAACAAGGUAGCCGUA